rnacentral:rRNA from 1 species
GGGGGAAUCUUAGACAAUGGGGGAAACCCUGAUCUAGCCAUGCCGCGUGAUCGAUGAAGGCCUUAGGGUUGUAAAGAUCUUUCAGGUGGGAAGAUAAUGACUGUACCACCAGAAGAAGCCCCGGCUAACUCCGUGCCAGCAGCCGCGGUAAUACGGAGGGGGCUAGCGUUAUUCGGAAUUACUGGGCGUAAAGCGCACGUAGGCGGACUGAAAAGUCAGAGGUGAAAUCCCAGGGCUCAACCUUGGAACU